CAGCCGUAAACAAUGUGCGUUAGGUAUGUCGGUAACCACGUGUUACUGAUGUGCCGAAGAGAAAUCGUGAAACGCACCACCUGGGAAGUACGGUCGCAAGGCUGAAACUUAAAGGAAUUGGCGGGGGAGCACAACAACGGGUGGAGCCUGCGGUUUAAUUGGACUCAACGCCGGACAACUCACCGGGACGACAGCAAUAUGUAGGCCAGGCUGAAGACCUUGCCUGAAUCGCUGAGAGGAGGUGCAUGGCGUAGACGUCU
rnacentral:rRNA from 1 species